UACGGGGGGAGCAAGCGUUGUUCGGAUUUACUGGGCGUAAAGGGCGCGUAGGCGGUCAGCACAAGUCAGUUGUGAAAUCUCCGGGCUUAACUCGGAAAGGUCAACUGAUACUGUGCGACUAGAGUGCGGAAGGGGCAACUGGAAUUCUUGGUGUAGCGGUGAAAUGCGUAGAUAUCAAGAGGAACACCUGCGGCGAAGGCGGGUUGCUGGGCCGACACUGACGCUCAUGCACGAAAGCGUGGGGAGCAAACAGG
rnacentral:rRNA from 1 species